AAACAAACCUGAAAUUCCAUCCAGAAUGACACAUGAAACAUCACAUAAACAGCUUUUAUAAGCCUGCUUUGCCUCUGAUUAUUUAUUUCAAUUAAGUAAUUAAGAGAACUACUGCAAAAAGGACUGCUUCUGUAACUCUGCUAAGCUUUUGUGAGUAAAAUAAUAUAUUUAUCAGGAAAAAAAAUCUUUUUUGGGUCUUUUUCUGCAGCUUAAACAAGUACAGUUUGAGUCGGCAAAGGCAGUGCGCCAAACAGUUAGGAGAGACAGACAAAAAGAUGCUGAGGUCAGCAGGACCAAUUUACUUAAUGAGAAAGAUAAAGAUAAAAGAAGGCAGUCAGCAAAACAUGAGGUUUGGGCGAGGCGGGAUUAGAAAUGAACAAGCAGCCUCAGUGAGACGAAGGAUAAGGAACCAUAAAUGGUGGCUUGUUAAAUGUUGGAUCUAAUGAAGCUACUUAAUUAUAUUUAUUUACUUAAAUUUAAUCAUUCUCAUUAAGACAAUACAGCAUUUCAUUAAUUUAAUAUGUGCUCUCCUGGGGAUUGUUCGCCAAAUUAAAAGUACAUUUUGAAAAUAAACUUUCAGCAGAUGUUAAACAUUUCUUUAUCAAAAUCAUAAUAUUCUAUAUUUCAUUAGCUGUAAGCAGAAAUCGGUGAAUUAAAUUAACUUUGUUUAUAAUGCGUGUGCGUGGACUAAAAGGAUCAGAAUUAUUGUCUCAAACCUUUUGUUUACAUUUUCAGAAGUAUAGCAGGUCAUGACGUUCAGAGUUUGAACUUUGUUUAAAUGAGUCUAAAUAAAAAAAUAAUCAUGAUGCCUCAGCUAUAAAUUUUGCACUUGGCCAUGGUUUAACAAUUGCAGAAUUCAAAUAUUAUUUCAGUUCAGUCUAGAGUCUGAAGAUGAUGGCUUUCUGCACAAGCCUUGAUCAGAGUAUGUUUUAUCAGAUUUUUGAGUGUCUGUGAAGCUACAAUUCAGCUCCAGGCUGUUAGUCUCAUGUAUAGAUGGAAGUAUAAUGCUACAUAUUAAACUCUCCCACUCCAUAUUCAGCCACUUAAAAGCAUCCUGACAGAAUGAUACUGCCCUCACCAUGUUUCACUGAAGGCUGUUCCUAUAUUCACAGCUGUAGUGAAUUUAAAUGUGACCUAUUAUGCUUUUUUGAGCAGGUUAGGAUAGGUCUAUGGGCUAUACCAAACAUACUCAUUAGAUAUUUAGCACAAAAUCAUUCUGCCUGAUCUGUUUUAGGGCCUCUUGUCAUGUUAAAUCCAAAUAACUUGUUGCUGGCCCCAACUCAACGUUUACACUCACCCAUGAAAAUGGCUGCAAACAGAUGCAGUGCAAUUAAACAACCGUACAUCUUUGAAAAGCAUUAGUAGAGUGUCCUGCACAACCAACAAGAAUUUAGCAAGCGGUUUCUGGAUGUUAAGUGAACAACAAAACACUUGUAUUUUCCUGCUGCUUUUGUACAGCACAUAAAGCAGUAAAACCAGCUGACCAAAUAUGCUGGAGUUCUGCUUGGGUUGCUAGGUAACAGGCGGACCUCUGCUGGGGUUGCUAGGUGAAGGCCAGUGCCUGCUAAUUUGUGACCUGUUACAUUCA